UACGUAGGGUGCAAGCGUUAAUCGGAAUUACUGGGCGUAAAGCGUGCGCAGGCGGUUUUGUAAGUUUGUCGUGAAAGCCCCGGGCUCAACCUGGGAAUGGCGAUGAAGACUGCAAGGCUUGAAUCUGGCAGAGGGGGGUAGAAUUCCACGUGUAGCAGUGAAAUGCGUAGAGGAUGAUGGAGGAACACCGAUGGCGAAGGCAGCCCCCUGGGUCAAGACGUGACGCUCAUGCACGAAAGCGUGGGGAGCAAACAGG
rnacentral:rRNA from 1 species